GACGGAGGGGGCUAGCGUUGUUCGGAAUUACUGGGCGUAAAGGGCGCGUAGGCGGCCACCGCAAGUCGGUUGUGAAAUCUCCGGGCUUAACCCGGAAAGGUCAAUCGAUACUGCGGGGCUAGAGUGCAGAAGGGGCAACUGGAAUUCUCGGUGUAGCGGUGAAAUGCGUAGAUAUCGAGAGGAACACCUGCGGCGAAGGCGGGUUGCUGGGCUGACACUGACGCUGAAGCGCGAAAGCUAGGGGAGCGAACGGG
rnacentral:rRNA from 1 species